CCUACGGGAGGCAGCAGUGGGGAAUAUUGGACAAUGGGCGAAAGCCUGAUCCAGCCAUGCCGCGUGUGUGAAGAAGGCCUUCGGGUUGUAAAGCACUUUCAGUGGGGAAGAAAGCCUUGGGGCUAAUACCCUCGAGGAAGGACAUCACCCACAGAAGAAGCACCGACUAACUCCGUGCCAGCAGCCGCGGUAAUACGGAGGGUGCGAGCGUUAAUCGGAAUUACUGGGCGUAAAGCGCGCGUAGGCGGUCUGAUAAGCCGGUUGUGAAAGCCCCGGGCUCAACCUGGGAACGGCAUCCGGAACUGUCAGGCUAGAGUGCAGGAGAGGAAGGUAGAAUUCCCGGUGUAGCGGUGAAAUGCGUAGAGAUCGGGAGGAAUACCAGUGGCGAAGGCGGCCUUCUGGACUGACACUGACGCUGAGGUGCGAAAGCGUGGGUAGCAAACAGGAUUAGAUACCCCAGUAGUC
rnacentral:rRNA from 1 species